GCCCAGGCCCCGCUUCCCUGUCUGGGCCCUGGCCUGGCAGCAAGGCGCAGCCCUGUGGGCCCUGAAGCCCCUGAUUGUACCCCCAGGAGCCCUGUGCCUCCCUCAGCGCCCUGCCCAUGCAGGUGGGCCUGGUGUGUGCCUUGCUCAGGUUCCUCCUUGGGCACCGUGCUUGCAGGGGUGCUGGGGGCUGGGGGGGAGGGCACAGCCCUGUCUAUACCAGGGGCUGUGAUGGAUCUGAUUGGUGCUCUUUUCCUAGCGUUUGCUGCAUUGCAUUCCGGGGACCUAGACAAAGAGAAGCUGCGGAUGAUCAUCACCUACCUCCAAAUGCAUUUGGAAUAUGACACCCAUCCAUCGAUCCGUCACCUGGCAGCUGGGACCAUAGAGAUCCUGCAACGUCAAGUACAGCAGCAACCCGCAUCAAGAUGGGCUAGGUUGGCAGCACUGCGCUGCUGGCCCUGAACAGCCAGGGAGCCACAGAGCUUCCCUGGGGAAGAUCUCUCUGAAUAAAACUGGAACUACAAGACCA